AGUCGAGGGGCAGCGGGAUUGAAGCUUGCUUCAAUUGCCGGCGACCGGCGCACGGGUGAGUAACGCGUAUCCAACCUUCCGCUUACUCGGGGAUAGCCUUUCGAAAGAAAGAUUAAUACCCGAUGGUAUCUUAAGCACGCAUGAGAUUAAGAUUAAAGAUUUAUCGGUAAGCGAUGGGGAUGCGUUCCAUUAGGCAGUUGGCGGGGUAACGGCCCACCAAACCUACGAUGGAUAGGGGUUCUGAGAGGAAGGUCCCCCACAUUGGAACUGAGACACGGUCCAAACUCCUACGGGAGGCAGCAGUGAGGAAUAUUGGUCAAUGGGCGAGAGCCUGAACCAGCCAAGUAGCGUGAAGGAUGACGGCCCUACGGGUUGUAAACUUCUUUUGUGCGGGAAUAAAGGAACCUACGUGUAGGUUUUUGCAUGUACCGUAACGAAUAAGCAUCGGCUAACUCCGUGCCAGCAGCCGCGGUAAUACGGAGGAUGCGAGCGUUAUCCGGAUUUAUUGGGUUUAAAGGGAGCGUAGACGGGUUUUUAAGUCAGCUGUGAAAGUUUGGGGCUCAACCUUAAAAUUGCAGUUGAAACUGGAGACCUUGAGUACGGUUGAGGCAGGCGGAAUUCGUGGUGUAGCGGUGAAAUGCUUAGAUAUCACGAAGA
rnacentral:rRNA from 1 species